ACAGCUCAUCACUGGUCAGGUGUUGGUUUCCUCACAGGUGUAGGGGGCGUGGCCCGGGAACAAAGGGAAGGAGAAUUGUUUGUGGAGGGAAUUUUGGUUUUCUUUGUGAAGACAGAUGGAGGACUAAAAGUUUGAAGCCUUUCUGGGGAUAUCAACCACAUUUAGCUCAGUUUUAUUUAUGGAGAUUCCUCGACCGACUGAAGACAGCAGGGAAACCAUCGUGUACUGAACGAGGACCAGAAAGAUUGAGCAGCAAACCAAACCACGGCCCAAUUAUUUCUUCCCAACCUGACAUCCGUCUGGAAGUUUUGGUAUCGUAGAAGCAUGCUGGUAAGCUCCCAAAGAGGUACUGGUCCAACAUCCAGAGGGUGACAACAUUGCAGUGACCUUCAUUAAGAUUGUAAUGGAGAUGCCACUGGAGAACUGGAGGGUGCUUAUACUGUGCCCCACCUCAUGACCUUAAUCCCACAGAAGGUAUUUUGAAUUUAUUCCACUCUAAUUUAGGAACGACCUUGAGAAGCAAGGAGAACUCAUCUAUUUUUCCUGUCAUUUCACAGAUUCCCCACUGGAAGACUUUUUCAAGGAACUGCACAAUCUGGACAGUUUUCUGGGUGCAGUUUCCCAAUCUGAGAAUGACAUAAUUUCAAAAUAGCCCCAAUGGAAACAAGGUCAAGUGUUGGCCAGUACGUGGAAGGUAAUUGCUUUUGUUGUAUCCAAAAUAACAGCAUGAUUUUAACGUGGAAUAGAUGACCGAUAACUGAGUUCACCAUACUGUAAGCCAAUAUUUAAAGAACUGCUGUAAUAGGAGUAGUGUAGUUCCCUUUUACUGUAAACGGUGACUAUCCACAAGCACAUCUCCCAUUGUCAAGAGUUUGUUGUAGAAAAUGCUUCCACACAUCAAAUCGUGUCUUUUUGCAGUACCAAGAAAUGACUUGAUAGUUGUAGGUAAAUACACUGUAUAAAACUUCCUCUCAGGUCUGUGUGGAUAUAUAAACAUCUUUGUAUAUUUGUGGAAACACAGACAGGUUGGUCUUUGGUUCCACUCUAAAGUGCUAAAGUUUCUGUGGUGCAGCUGUGUCGAGUCUUUGGUAGCUGGGAAGGAGUUCAGAGGAUCAGUGGCACCAGUUUUCAUCCUCUUUCACAUCAGAGAAGUAAAAUGUUUACAGUUUCUGUCUGCUCUUGUAAUCCACACUCUUGUCUUGUGUCUUUACGUAGAAAAAAA